rnacentral:lncRNA from 1 species
CCCCAGCAGUAAAUACGACCUAUUAAACCAACAGUGAAAUCACACAACCCAGGAACAGAUCUCACAAACCAGGAGAAAUUUAAACCCAAAUAAUACCACAAAUCAAACUCGAAUAGCCUCAACACCAACCAGAAUAUUCCAGCAAUUAAUUAUGCCUCGAUAUCCGACAGUAACUAUCAGAAACAACCAUCAAAUACUCAAACGGGCUUGAGCUUAAACUAAGAUUUCAAUGGAACAGUAAUUGCCAUUUUUUUUAUUUUUGAAUUCUGUUUAUUUUUUGGUUUUCUGAAAUUAAGAUGGUCUUCUUCAAAUUAAAAGAAUGGAAAAGUGUUUAAUGACAUAAAAAAUAACUGAAAGAGAAGAACCUUUCCCCAAGGUAUUUGAUGCCCAAGGGGGUAAAUCAGAUUUUGGCUUUCUUUUUUAGUCCCUCCCUUAAUUUCAGUUUGGUACCUCUUUUUUUAUUUAGCAUAAAUACUUCUAUUGCUAACAUCUACACUAAAGUACCCUCAUAGAAGGCCCUAGGAUGCUCUUCUAUCCAAAAAUACCUAUACUACCCUUACCCUUAUUUUGAAAUUACUAUUCUUGAAGAAACUACCAUUUUCUAUGCCUAAAAUGCCCUUUGAUUCCUUUCUGAAUUACCUAACGUAACCAUACCCCUUUCACCUAAGUUACAAAUUCAUUUU